GACGAACGCUGGCGGCGUGCUUAACACAUGCAAGUCGAACGGAAAGGCCCUGCUUUUGUGGGGUGCUCGAGUGGCGAACGGGUGAGUAACACGUGAGUAACCUGCCCUUGACUUUGGGAUAACUUCAGGAAACUGGGGCUAAUACCGGAUAGGAGCUCCUGCUGCAUGGUGGGGGUUGGAAAGUUUCGGCGGUUGGGGAUGGACUCGCGGCUUAUCAGCUUGUUGGUGGGGUGGUGGCUUACCAAGGCUUUGACGGGUAGCCGGCCUGAGAGGGUGACCGGCCACAUUGGGACUGAGAUCCGGCCCAGACUCCUACGGGAGGCAGCAGUGGGGAAUAUUGCACAAUGGGCGGAAGCCUGAUGCAGCAACGCCGCGUGCGGGAUGACGGCCUUCGGGUUGUAAACCGCUUUCGCCUGUGACGAAGCGUGAGUGACGGUAAUGGGUAAAGAAGCACCGGCUAACUACGUG
rnacentral:rRNA from 1 species